rnacentral:tRNA from 2 species
CGGGAUGUAGCGCAGUCUGGUAGCGCACCUGCUUCGGGAGCAGGGGGCCGGAGGUUCAAAUCCUCUCAUCCCGACCA